AACUGGUUUAAAACUGCAUACGGUAGCUCAUUUAAACCUCUCGAGGGCCCUUGACAAGAUGUCCAGGCACUUGAGAGAGGCUUAGCUAGUAAUAAAACUCUCUCUCCACGAAAUAAAUCUUUGGUGACCUCAUGGAUAAUAACGGGCAACGGUAUUUCCGUGAUAAUCCCACAGCUGUGGUUGGACCGAAGAAAACAAACUUGCAGGAACUUCAGUGUUAAACAGCUUCAUGGGCGAUAAUAAAAUGAAGAACGUUCCUGGGAAAUAAUAAUAUCAGCAUUUGACAUUUUAACCAAAUUGCGACUUCCUCGGUUUGAGAGAACUGACGUCGGAUUUUCGCAAAUUUUUACAUUUUUUUCAAACAAAUUAAUAAACUGAUUGAAGGAAAUAUGGCUUUUCUUAUCAAACGAAUGACUGAAUAUGUAUUGAACGAGGUAAAAUAAAAGUUUAAUCUGUU